rnacentral:rRNA from 1 species
UACAGAGGGGGCAAGCGUUAUUCGGAAUUAUUGGGCGUAAAGGGCUCGUAGGCGGUUUGUCGCGUCGGGAGUGAAAACACUGGGCUUAACUCAGUGCUUGCUUCCGAUACGGGCAGACUAGAGGUAUGCAGGGGAGAACGGAAUUCCUGGUGUAGCGGUGAAAUGCGUAGAUAUCUGGAGGAAUACCGGUGGCGAAGGCGGCAUCCUGGACCGAGAUUGACGCUGAGGCGCGAAAGCCAGGGGAGCAAACGGG